rnacentral:rRNA from 1 species
ACGGAAGGCAGCAGUGGGGGAUAUUGCACAAUGGAGGAAACUCUGAUGCAGCAACGCCGCGUGAGGGAAGAAGGUCUUCGGAUUGUAAACCUUUGUUUUUGGUGAAGAUAAUGACGGUAGCCAAAGAGGAAGCCACGGCUAACUACGUGCCAGCAGCCGCGGUAAUACGUAGGUGGCAAGCGUUGUCCGGAAUUACUGGGUGUAAAGGGUGCGCAGGCGGGUCAGCAAGUUGGAUGUGAAAUACCGGGGCUUAACCCCGGAGCUGCAUCCAAAACUGUUGAUCUUGAGUGAAGUAGAGGUUGGCGGAAUUCCGAGUGUAGCGGUGAAAUGCGUAGAUAUUCGGAGGAACACCAGUGGCGAAGGCGGCCAACUGGGCUUUAACUGACGCUGAGGCACGAAAGCAUGGGGAGCAAACAGGAUUAGAUACCCUGGUA